GCGAAAACCGCCUUCUCUAAAACCCGUUACCACCGCUCCUUGCGGCCCACCUGCUCUGCCCUUGGAGACUUCCAAGUCCAGACCAAAAGCACCGGUGAUCAGUGGAGAGCCGGGCCCUCUAAUCUUAACCCAAAGCAGCCAGGUCUAUCCGAAAGGCUUGUUCAAAUAAAAAAAAGUACAAAAGGGCAGGCAGUCUGGAUGCUGGGACCCGGCUUCAGGGAAGGGGCUUUCCCACUCGGAAAAUGGUCUGUCUCCUGGAAGCAAGGGAUUCGUUCCUGUUUCCUGAAGAUCCUGCUGCAGAACUUUCCUGCUGUGAUGUCCCUAGCCAGCUGGUGGGUCCCUAAACCAGCAGCAUUUCCAGGUCUGUCAAGAUGGUAAGGGCUGGAGAUGUAGCUCAAUGAAAGAUCACUUGUAUCACAGGAAAAAGGUUCAAUUCCCAGUAAUGGAAAAAAAAAAAAAAGCCCAAUUCCUCAUUAAGUUAGGCAUGGAAGAUUGCCACAAGUUUAAGGCCUGUCUGGGUUACCCAGUGAGACCUUGUCUCAAAAA